UACGUAGGCAGCAAGCGUUGUUCGGAGUUACUGGGCGUAAAGAGUGCGUAGGCGGUCUUUUAAGUUUGGUGUGAAAUCUCCCGGCUCAACUGGGAGGGUGCGCCGAAAACGUGGAGGCUUGGAGGAUGGAGAGGCAUGGCGGAAUUCCUGGUGUAGCGGUGAAAUGCGUAGAAUAUCAGGAGGAACACUGCGUGUGAGACAGCAUGGCUGGACCAUUUCUGACGCUGA
rnacentral:rRNA from 1 species